AUGAGGGAUCUUGUGUUUGUGAAAUUCAACUCUAAACUAAGGAACAAGAGAGAGAACAAAAAUAGAGAUCCCAUAGAGAAAGAAGUAGAUGAUGUUCUUGCUGAUUAUGACAAUGAGUUCAUCACUGGGAAAGAACCAACUGCAAAAGCUGAGGAAGAACAAGAGAAAGCUCAUGAAGAUGCAUCGGAAGAGGCACCAAACAGGGCAUCAUCAUCACUGGGACAAGCCAAAAGGAAGAGGAGUUCUCAGCCUAGGAAGAAAAUCAAGACCGCGAGCCUGCAGUCCUUGAUGGCUAUGCGUGUUGAAACAAUGCCGCAAGCUGCUUCUUCUUCUGAAUCGGAGUCUGAUAAGUCUCCUUCAGAUUCUGGAGAAGAAUAG
rnacentral:rRNA from 1 species